GACGAACGCUGGCGGCGUGCUUAACACAUGCAAGUCGAGCGAGUGGAUUCCCUUCGGGGAUGAAGCUAGCGGCGGACGGGUGAGUAACACGUGGGCAACCUGCCUUAUAGAGGGGGAUAGCCUUCCGAAAGGAAGAUUAAUACCGCAUAAUAUCAGAUUAUCGCAUGGGAGCCUGAUCAAAGGAGCAAUCCGCUAUAAGAUGGGCCCGCGUCGCAUUAGCUAGUUGGUGAGGUAACGGCUCACCAAGGCGACGAUGCGUAGCCGGCCUGAGAGGGUGAUCGGCCACAUUGGGACUGAGACACGGCCCAGACUCCUACGGGAGGCAGCAGUGGGGAAGAUUGCACAAUGGGGGAAACCCUGAUGCAGCAACGCCGCGUGAGUGAUGAAGGCCUUCGGGUUGUAAAGCUCUUUGAUCAGGGACGAUAAUGACGGUACCUGAAGAACAAGCCACGGCUAACUACGUGCCAGCAGCCGCCGUAACAC
rnacentral:rRNA from 1 species